UGAGCUCGAGCUCGGCGUCGGCCGUGGGUGUCCGCGGCAGCGUCUUAUUUCUGGGCGAGGGACGGGCGUGUGGAGAGCAACGCCCGCGCGGUAAGUGAGGCUUGGACUGGUUUUCAGGACAGGCAGAAAAAUCGGUUGAAUACCUACAUUCCUGCUUCUGAAAUGAGGAGGGUCCUUCAUUUGAAGAAUUGAUAGGCCAUAUAUCAUCUGAAGGGCAGAUGGCCAGAGGAAGGAACAGACAGAAAACCACAUCUAAAGUAACUGACAUCACCAUUCUUGGCUCUGGCUCAAUUGGUUCUUCCUUCAGUCUUCAAACAAGUUAAUGCCCUUUAGAAACUCAAGUGUGUGCCUCCCCAAAGGAUCUUCCUCAGCAAUGUUAAGUAUGCAUAUUAUGUGAAAGCUCUGAACAUAUAAUCCAUUUCCAUUUACUCCAGUCAUUCCUGCCAUUGUGAUAACAAACCUUUUGUGAGAGGGACUGAGUAAGUAAAUCAUUAAUAUGGCUUAUUGUGCGACUUUAGAAAUGCCUUUUGUGUCCUCUGUGGUUAGCCUUCCAAAAUCUUGUCUAGCAUAGAACACAUUACAUUGAUAGCUGGGUUGAAAUCUGUGGUUUUUGGCUGUAUACACAAAUAUGUGAAUGCGAUAAAGUCAGAUGUGUUUUAACACACAUGUUAUCCACACUCUGCCAUAGUCCAGCUGCACAUUGCUUAUUUGCGAUACACAUCCACAUCAAAGGAGCCUGGCGGUAAAAUGGUGCUGUUGUUGUACAAUUGCUAGCCUCAUAGAUGCAUGGCCCAGAAAUGGGAGUGUCACUGGAGUGUCCUGCACCUCAACCUGAUUGGAGUGGUUCAAGUACAUACAUUGCAGCCAUUCCUGCUUUUUUUCUCCUUCAAGUGACGCUGUAGGCACAGAAACAGCCUUGCAGGGACACAUCUACCUUGCUGUUAUUUAAAGCCUGCAGUCCUCUCUUUCAGCAUUGUUCAGUCCUUCAAGUCCAUGUUAGUGCCCUGAAGAUAAACAGGAUGUCAGGAGCUGCUAAAAUCUGUGAGUGGCUACUCCAUGUGGUGAACCACUAAACAGCAAGUAGCCUUUUCAUUGACGAACCAGACUGCCUCCACCCAGGCUUGCCUUGGGAUCUUUCAAGCCUCUUUUCCCAACAGAAUCACAGAAUUGUAGAGUUGAAAGGGACCCCAAGGAUCAUCUACUCCACCCCCUGCAAUGCUAGAAUCUCUUUGCCCCAUGUGGUGCUCAAACCCACAACCCUGAGAUUAAGAGUCUCAUGCUCUUAUCAACUGAGCUAUCUUGAAUACUACAGUCUUUCUGAGCUGUAUUGUGGUUGUUGCCUUGCCUGUCUCCUAGUUACUAGUUCACCUCAGACUGCUGCUCCACAUCCUCUGUCCUUACACAGAAGCAGUAUGAGCACUGCAUUGCACGCAGCUGACCUAACGUUUGCAAAUUUCAGAUGUUCACAGUUCAUAGGAGGCAUGCUAAUUAAGUUUGCUUUUUAAAACCAGCUUUUAAUAAAUAAUUGGUGGAUUUGGGUGUGGGGGGAAAAUAUUAAGUAAAAUCUGAGAAUGUAAACUGCAAAUAUUUUCUUCUCAGAGCUGCACUCUUAUACAUAUGGGCAGCUCUCAGCAACUCUGGACCACAGUCGACACAAGAGAACAUGCCUAACCCUAAACCAAACAAGUAUAUUCACAGGUCAAUUCCUUAAUUAAGAUGUUUAGUUGCAUUCUUGUAAGCAUUUACUUAUCCAAAAGUAAUUUUGACUGACACAUUACCAGUGUGUUCUGGGUUACUUAGAGAUGUUUUCCUCACACUCAGAUUAAUGGCUCACAGAGAAGUAACAGUAGUUUUUAUAUAUAUAUAAAAAACCCGACCAGCAACACUCAAAUACAUAAAAACAGCUGGAGUGUAAAACAUGGCCAAAAAAUAAUUCCUAUUGGCUUAAUUUUAGCCACCAGUAUCCAACUAAGUAAUGAAGAACAUGUUCUGAGAGUUUAAACUUGGACAAAAACAAUACUACAAGGGCAGGAUUUCAGUGCCUGAUAAAGCUUCUUGCCCCGCCCCAUGAUUUCAUGAUCGGUUUUUGCUAGUGAAAACUGUAGAAUUUUGCAGAGAGCAAGAGCAAGAGAGAACACACAGCCCUGACUAUGUGUAUUGUA